AGCUGAGGUAACUGACCUUGAGAGGAGAGAAAUGCCACCAGGAGUGUGCUGAGGCGGCCAUUUGAGGAGACUGAUCUGUUUUGUGUGACUUGAGGGAAGUAGAGUUGCGCUGUGUGUCGGAGCAGCGCUAGCAAACCCUGGUAAUGAGCGGAAAAUCCUUGAAAAGUAUUCUAACAUCACCUUCCCUGCUCCCGCUGAAGCUCCGGGAAACACUGGUAACCAUUAGAGAUGGAACAUGUCAAGCCAGUGCAGCUGUGGAAUCUCGGUGAUGACAGUGGAGGGAGUGUCUCCUUCUUCCAUUCAGUGUGGGUAAAGAAGCAGGGCCUACAAGGCAAGGCUAGGGGUGAGGCUCUAGGAGAUUGACAGCAGCGCCAGCCUUCAUCAGCGGUGUCAGGCUGAACAAUUCCAGCUCUAGCUCUUUGUGCAAGGCAGAUCUAUCAGUGAUAUUGGUGGACUGAGAGGCAGAACUGGACUCCUUAAACAAGGUUAAUAGUGGGAUGUGGAGAAGGGAGACCAGCCCUGUCAUUGUGAUCCUACACUGACUGACAGCUGCUCAUAGCCCCAAGCUUCAACUACUACAGGAAAGGUAUAAUUGCAGUCAGUUAAGGGGCCCAUACACCUGGGAUAAAUUGGAACAAUCUGAUGUUUUGCAAAUGAUUGUGUCAAUAAAUCUGCAAUAUAUGGGGUUCACAGAUCGCAGAUUUCAGCCACAAAUCGAUUGGGAUUGUUAAAUCAGGUUUUUCAACAUGUUUAAUUUCACAGAUAAAUUGGUGCUGUAGAUUGCUAGCGUAUGGGUAACAAUCAGUAGAUCUGCAGACCGUUUCUAGUAUACUGAUCAGUCUUUCAAGAUUUGCAGCUGUGUUUAACUGAAAAUGAUCUGCAAAUCACUGAAAUAUAUCUGUAAUGUAUGGGCAAGUCAGAUGGAUUGGGGUAACAAUAUAUCUCGGAAAUAAAUCACAGGAUCUGUGAAAAAAUAAAUAGUGUUUGCUGAUGUAUGGGCCCCUUUAGACAGCAUUCUCAUAGCUCCUUAAACACCGACUACACUGGGAGCAGCCUAGUUAUUGUACCUGUGAAUAUAUUGAGUCACUCUGUAUUAGGAUAUGCCUGAGCCAAGUUCGGGAUUGGCAGCUAUCCACUAGGUUAAUUUAUCUGGAGUAUAGCAACUGGCAAAGCAAGGGUUAAUUGCAGACAGAAUGGAUGCAAGUUGACUUGGUAAGGCUGGGGUUAAUUAUACACUUUGGGCUAGGUGUGAAGACAGCAAGACUUGAUUAAAUCAGAUAGCAAAGCAUGGGUUUAUUGCAGGUCAGGUUAACAGGAUACUGAAAUAGUUACUGCAGAAAGGCUUGACAAGUUAUGCCACAGGAUUGAAUAUGCACUGGUAACUGAACAAUGGGAACCGAAUGAAUGAGGUGAUAACUGCUGGGAGUAACCAGUGAGCCAAAAGUCCACAAUAGUGGUCUAUGCCCCCACUCAGCCUGAAGAUGACGAUGAUGGAAAAGCUGGUACAUCCACACAAGUGUCUCUUCCAAGGAAGUGAAAGUCAGAAGUGUCAGCCAGGCAAACACACACAUGCCGCCAACACAAAAGCAGAAGUCGGCAGUCACAAGCAGGCCACAAGUGUCUCCACCACGAUGCUGCAUCUCAGAGGUGUCAUCCAUUCCAACACUCCAACUUCUAGACAGUCCCCCUGCAAUGUCACCGCACUCACCACAGCUGCCUGGGGACCCCAUUCUUGAUGAUAAUCAGGCUGUCCAAGAUCUGGGAACACAAAUGGAGGAAACAUUUGUUUUAAAUUUACGGCCAAUUUCUCCACCUCCAACCACACCAACAUAUGUGUGUAGGCCACCAACCCAGACAACACCUGCACCCCAAAUCACCUCAACAACACCACAAGCACAAACACAGGAACAGGUGUUUUGGAGCAGCUGUACCACCCAGCAGGCUAAUAACCUGGAUUGUCUGCAGAGGCAGACCCAAUUCCUCAGGAGUUUGGCCCAUCACCUACCCAGAUUGAGCUGCAACACAAGCAUUCAAAAUACCCAACUAACAAGAAUAGGCAACACACUGGAAUUAAUAAGAUCGGACAACAGCCGAAUGAUGGAUGCAUUUCAGCGUAUCAUGUAUGAAAACCAGAGGCUUCACCAAAACUACCUACACAUAUUUGACAACAACCAAAUCAUACUCCAGAGCAUUGCCCGCAUUAUGGAGAGCCACACAGGAGACCUCAACGCAACACUCACUAACCUGAGCCAGCACCUCACAACACAACAAAGUGACCUUCCAAGCACCAGUUCUGGAGGGACAACACCCUUAAUUUCACCGGUUACCUCCCCACCAAGGCGAUCCUCCCGCACACGGACAGACUCAACUGGAAAAGGAAGGUCCACCUCCAGAGGGCGCCAGAGGAAAUAAUAAUAAAAAAAAUGUCAGUCUGUAAUGACAAAAUAACAUUAAUUUUGUUUUUUCCACAAUCAAGGCCAGUUUUAAGGCCAUGUUUU